GUGCUCACUUUAGUAGCACAUAUAUUAAAUUGGAAUGAUACAGAGAAGAUUAGCAUGUCUCCUGCACAAGGAUGACGUGCAAAUUCGUGAAGCAUUCCAUAUUUUU